GGAAGCCAUUGAAAUCCACAAACACCAGCAGAGCUUCAACAAAAAAGAAGAAAGUCUAAAACUCAACAAAGCCUGGCUCCCAGCACUGAAAAAUACAGCCUGCAAAAAGGUCAACGAACUCUACCCAGCCACAAGAACCGGUGAUCACUGCACACAAAAGAUUAGCUCAGUGGUUCUUAACCUUUGUUACUCAGAUGUUUUUGAACUGCAACUCCCAGAAACCCCAGCCAGCACAGUUUGUGGUGAAGGCUUCUGGGAGUUGCAGUCCAAACCUCCUGAGUAACCCAAGGUUAAGAACCAGUGGACUAGCUAAUGACACCCAUCAAUCACAGUGACAGACCAUCUACCCCCUUAACACAGCAAUACAUCCAUAACAAAAAAACACCCUGAUCACCAUAAUCAACCAAUCUCCUGAAAAGGACAAAAAACUGAUCCCACAGCUACAAAUACUCAACUAUCCCAGAACACAGACAGAGUUCUAACUCCUGUCCUCUCAAGAUGCUGGCCACAGAAACUGGUGAAAUGUUAGGAAGAAAAACCUCCAGAACACAGCCAAACAGCUCGAAAAAAACUUCAACCUGAUUUGUUUGCUGCCCAGAAUAUCAGCUUUGCUUCACUUUGCUUCUAGUUGGGCAAGAUAAAAACAUAAAUAAAUAAACUAGGCAAAAUGAAAUUAGGUGAGGUUUCCACUUAUGAGCAAAGGUAUAUAUAUUGUGAUCUGAUGCUCUACUGUUGUCGAUUCCUCUGCCUGGGAGCAUCCUGUGAUUGCAGAAAACCAAAACUCUCCCAUAGAGCUGCAUAUAGAUUAGAGCAAAGGGGCAAAAUCCAGGUAUUAGAUGUGGGGAACACUAAGGCAGUGGCCGCUGGUGAUUCUAGUUUUGGAUGUGCUGUGAAUCAACUCUUGAGUUUUAGUCUGCAAUUUACAGGCACUAUUGAAGAGGUUGAACCCUAUCUCUGAAACAGGUUUAGUUUAACUUCCAACAAGGUAGCUGUGUUAAUACUAUAUGUUGGGACAGACCCAUCAAAGAGUCAUGCAGCACCUUAAAGAGUAACAAUUUUUAUUCAGCAUUCACACUGCAUAGUGGUAAAUUUGGAAGUACAGGAACUGAUAAUAACAGUCUCUGUAGCCAGACCCCCUCAUUAAGGAGAAUCUAAAAAUACAGGCAGGAGGAAUUGGUCCAUACAGGAUUUUUGUAAAGUUAAUGAAGAAUUUAUGCUUUUGAAUUGUGGUGCUGGAAGAGGCUCUUGAGAGUCCCCUGGACUGCAAGGAGAUCAAACCUAUUCGUUCUGAAGGAAAUCAACCCCGAGCGCUCACUGGAAGGACAGAUCCUGAAGCUGAGGCUCCAAUACUUUGGCCAUCUCAUGAGAAGAGAAGACUCCCUGGAAAAGACCCUGAUGUUGGGAAAGUGUGAAGGCAAGAGGAGAAGGGGACGCCAGAGGACGAGAUGGUUGGACAGUGUCACCGAAGUGACCAACAUGAAUUUGACCCAACUCCGGGAGGCAGUGGAAGACAGGAGGGCCUGGCAUGCUCUGGUCCAUGGGGUCAUGAAAAGUCGGUCACGACUUAAUGACUAAACAACAACAAAAAAGUGAAUGGCUCUUAAUGGCUAGUUCAAGUCCAAACCGCCCUCUAGUCUUCUGUGAUACAACAGAAAUAUCUUGCAAUCUAUUUCUUCCCUAGCUGUUACUAAGAUUGCAAAUUAAGUUCUGAAGAAACAAGGAAACCUUAGGAGUGAAAGUGCUGGAUUAUAUCUUGUUCCCUGUUAUUCAAGAAGUCCUAGGUCUUCAACCCUUCCAGCUCUCAGCCCACUACAUCACUGGGCAUUAGUUUUCGUGGGACUGUAUCUGAAGAAAUUGCUACGCUCCUUAAAAACUGGUGCCAAAUGAAACCGAUUAGAAUCACAGGAGAACGGAGUUGGAAGGGGCCUCUAAGGCCACUAAGUCCAAGCCCCAAAUCA
rnacentral:lncRNA from 1 species